rnacentral:misc_RNA from 1 species
AACGCAUCUUGCGCUCCUUGGUAUUCCGAGGAGCAUGCCUGUUUGAGUGUCAUUCGACUUGUCAACCACAUCAAUUGCGAUGUGGCUUGGAUGUGGGGGUUCUUGCAGGCUCUCUCUUUCAUGAGGUCUGCUCCCCUGAAAUGCAUUAGUGGUAUCUGAGCAGAACUACUACCGUCAGGUGUGAUAAAUUAUCUAUGCCUUUGGGUAUGCUGCAUGAACAGAUUGUGCCGCUCAUAAUGAUUGUUUGACGAAUUUGACCUCAAAUCAGGUAGGACUACCCGCUGAACUUAA